rnacentral:rRNA from 1 species
CUAGCGUUGUUCGGAUUUACUGGGCGUAAAGGGCGCGUAGGCGGAUUUUUAAGUCAGGGGUGAAAUCCCAAGGCUCAACCUUGGAACUGCCUUUGAUACUGGGGAUCUUGAGUCCGGGAGAGGUGAGUGGAACUGCGAGUGUAGAGGUGAAAUUCGUAGAUAUUCGCAAGAACACCAGUGGCGAAGGCGGCUCACUGGCCCGGAACUGACGCUGAGGCGCGAAAGCGUGGGGAGCAAACAGG